rnacentral:rRNA from 1 species
UACGUAGGGGGCAAGCGUUGUCCGGAAUCAUUGGGCGUAAAGAGCGUGUAGGCGGCCAGAUAAGUCCGCUGUGAAAUCUCGAGGCUCAACUUCGAGCUGUCGGUGGAAACUGUCUGGCUAGAGUCCGGAAGAGGAGAGUGGAAUUCCUGGUGUAGCGGUGAAAUGCGUAGAUAUCGUAAGGAAGACCAGUGGCGAAGGCGGGUCUCUGGACAGUUCCUGACGCUGAGGCACGAAGGCCAGGGGAGCAAACGGG